UUAAAAUGUUAAUUAAUUAACUAAAGUAGUAUCAGUUAUGUUCUUUAAAUUUAAAGAUUUUGGCGGUAUUUUAGUCUAUUCAGAGGAACCUGUUCUAUAAUUGAUAGUCCACGAUUAACUUUACUUGAAUUUAAAAGUUUGUAUAUCGUUGUUUAUAGAAAAUUUUUUAAGAAAAAUAAUUUUUAAUAAAUUUAAUUAAAUUAUAAAUCAAAUCAAGGUGCAGCUUAUAUUUUAGUAGAAAUGGGUUACAAUAAAAUUAUUUAAAUGGAUUUAUAUUUUAAAAAUAUAAUGAAAGUGGAUUUGAUAGUAAUUUUAUUAAUUUAAAUAAAAUGAUUUUAGCUCUAGAAUAUGU
rnacentral:rRNA from 1 species